GUGGUCUGCAGAUGAGAGUGGUGUUUUCCCGCGGCCUCAUACUUGUAUGGAUGUUUUUGCUUCCUCUCCUUCCUUGAUGACCUUUUCUCCUCGGAGCUUUGAGGGUUACAAGAAAGACGCAAAGGUGGUGGUUAAUGUAACAGUUGAAGGGAGUCCAGGACCAGUGAGGACCAUGGUUAAAUUGGGAUCUAGUGUGGAGGACACAAUAAAGCUUGUUGUAGACAAGUACGCUGAAGAAGGACGGACCCCUAAGCUUGAUAAGGAUGCAGCAUCCUCAUGUGAAUUGCAUCACUCCUACUUCAGCCUUCAAAGUUUAGAUAAAUCAGAGCUGAUCGGGGAUAUUGGUAAUAGAAGCUUCUAUCUCAGAAGAAACAGCAGCAACCGUAGUAGUAAUGGGC
rnacentral:misc_RNA from 1 species